CUCCUACGGGAGGCAGCAGCUAAGAAUCUUCCGCAAUGGGCGAGAGCCUGACGGAGCGACGCCGCGUGGGUGAAGAAGGCCGAGAGGUUGUAAAGCCCUUUUCUCAUGGAGGAAUAAGGAAUGCAGGGAAUGGCAUUUUGAUGACGACAAGUGAGGAAUAAGCUCCGGCCAAUUACGUGCCAGCAGCCGCGGUAAUA
rnacentral:rRNA from 1 species